CCUACGGGUGGCAGCAGUGAGGAAUAUUGGUCAAUGGUCGGGAGACUGAACCAGCCAAGCCGCGUGAGGGAUGAAGGUACAGAGUAUCGUAAACCUCUUUUGUCAGGGAACAAAGGCGGGGCCGUGUCCCCGGAUGAGUGUACCUGAAGAAAAAGCAUCGGCUAACUCCGUGCCAGCAGCCGCGGUAAUACGGAGGAUGCGAGCGUUAUCCGGAUUUAUUGGGUUUAAAGGGUGCGCAGGCGGUCUGUUAAGUCAGCGGUAAAAGCCAGGGGCGCAACCCCGGCCCGCCGUUGAAACUGGCAGUCUCGAGUUGGAGAGAAGUAUGCGGAAUGCGCGGUGUAGCGGUGAAAUGCAUAGAUAUCGCGCAGAACUCCGAUUGCGAAGGCAGCAUGCCGGCUCCACACUGACGCUGAGGCACGAAAGCGUGGGUAUCGAACAGGAUUAGAUACCCUUGUAGUC
rnacentral:rRNA from 1 species